UCUUCGUUUUCAGGCAAAGCGUUCAUCACCCAGUCAAUGAGGGGGAAGCCGUUGAUUGUGUACAAGCAAUAUACAUACUGCAAACAUUCGACGAGGAAUGGAAUCAUACGAUGGACUUGUUCGACGCAUUCGUACAAAUGUUGCAAGGCAGUUGUCAAAACUUGCGGAACGAUAAUCGUCGAAGUCAAAGGCUGGCACAACCACGACGCUUCGGAACUGCUUAUAAACCGCAAUAAACCUCACACGAUGGAACUGCCUGGGGUCAAUAUAUACCCCAGCGAUAUAGCGAGUGAACAAAGUUAUAAUAAUCUCUUAAAUAAUAAUUGAGCGUUAUGUUUGGAAUAGUCAUAUGUGGAUAACAUUCGUAAUUCUUUCAAUUGGCUGGUGUCAGUAUGAUGAGUACCUGCUUACCAAUUACCAGUCAGGCGCUGUCACUUUUGUAGCAGUUCUUGAGUUUCGACUUAAAAUGAAUAAGAUAACGUCUUAGGCAACAAAAGUUUAGCACAAUGGUAACUGCGCUAGUUCGUGUAAUGGCAAUUAUUCUUUUUUUUUUUUUAUUUGACCAUGAAAAGUUACUUGGUAAUAAAUAUAAAGAAUAAAUGAAUGGAAUUAAAUAAUGAAUAAAACAAAAAUAAACACAACAAAUAGUUUAUAGAGUUCGUUUGGGAUGCCUUGGAUAAAACAUAAAUGAUCUCUGGGAGGGAUGACAUGUCUAAGAAGGGAGGGAGGAAGGAAGAGAAACAAGAUAAUGAUGAAUUAAGGAAAUCAUAUAAAUAACCAAAUGCUUCGCAUAUAGUAAGACUGAGUAAAGUUUCUGUUAAUUUUUUUAUUUAGCGGCCGGUUUUACAAGUAGCUAUGUCUUCUUCUUUCAAAUUACAGUUUAUUGAUAAGAGAAAGAGAUAAAUCGUUGUUUAAGUUUCUGAUAAUUGUGUUCUGGUUUUAAAUUCGGUAAGCCUCGUUGGAUCAAUCAACAGCCAAGAGGAAUAAAUAGGCCAAAAGUUUCUUCGAAUUAUUUCAAGGAUCUCAUAUUUGUACAAAUAAAUAGUUAAUAUAAUAUCUUUAAUAUUAAAAUUUAAGACGUAGCGUUCGUAUCCCUAAUUUUAAUAUAAUACUAAAGUAUCCAACGAUUUGAAAGCAAUACUACUAAUAUUGGAAUUUUGUAUAAUUGUAAUUUCCAGCUUAUCUUUAAACGUAUUAUCCUGCAAGCUUAAGUCGUCUUAUAUUAUAUUAGAAUUCAACAGAUAGCAUCUUAAAUUAGUCGAACAACAUUUACAGUCAAUGUUUGUUAUAAGACGAAAUAUGUUAUAUUGUUUGAUAUUUUAAUAAAUAUCAUGGACCAUAUCGAUUUAAACCUCGCAUUACUAAUGAAUAAGAUUUGGUUAACGUGUCAAAUAGUUAUGGGUGUAAUAAGUUUUAUUAUUUUAUACUUAUGCUAGUCUUUAUUGGAGUAUUCCAUAAACUGCAGCUGUUUUUAAUUAACUCUAAUAAUAGCGUCUAGUCUAAUUAUUUAGUAUUUACCGUAGGGUUACGUACGGAUACAGUUCUAUGGAAUUCGUGAUAUAUUGCAAUAGUAGAAUAGAAACUAUAAUUUUGUAACUAUUUUAUGUUUAAAUAUUUAAUAUUGUAAACAUUGUGGAAAAUAUUCAGUCAACGGAACACGAGCUGUUAGCAAACAGGUUGUGUGUGUUUGUGUGUGUGACUUUUAAUCGAAGCGGCCGCAGCGUUUAAUGUCAAAUAAAUAAAGCAAUGUGCAUCAUCUGUGGAGUUUAUAUUCAUUUUGAUAUUAUCAAUACGUAUGUCGAUUGUGCACGCUGUAAAUACGAACAAUAUUUUUACAUCGCGUUUUUAGUGCUUUUUACAAUGGAUUAAUAAUGAGGAAUCCUAAAAUUUGAAUUAAAAAAAAACCUAACCAUGUCUUUCAAGAGUUCACAAUCCACCACUCAGUUCCUCAAUCAGGUCAACUCGUGAUAACAAAUCUUUAUUCAAAUAACAUAGAUUCAAAUCUAUCUGACGCUUAGUAGUCUGGGUAUAGGUCAAAAUAUCAAGAUUUAUAAUUGGUAGCUUAGUAUAGCUUAGUGUCCUGAUGAAUAUUAUCUACAAAAUCGAUUUCCUAGAGUUGUUUCCUUAAUUAUUAUAAUUUCAUAAAAGUGAGCUAGAAAAGUAAUAUAAAUAUGUCGAAAUUACUUGUCAAUGUGUUCAUUUGGGUAGGUACUUUUCAUUUAGAUCUGAUCUCGUGAUUCACUCACCCUACCCAUAUUUCAAUACAUUUUAAUCUUUUCAAACGAAAUUGUUCGUACAUAUAUUUUCUCAUCCUACGUCAUGACUCAUGACUGUGUUGCCAGUUGCCAUGAACGUUGCGUUGCGCGCAAUAUAUGUUAUAAAAUUCGUUAAUAUUAGUGCAAAAAGUCGUAAGUAAAAAUUUAGUUCCAAAAUGUUAAAACGAGUUACAAUGGAAACGUAGAUAAAAUCAUAUUAAUUCAUGAAA